rnacentral:rRNA from 1 species
UACGUAGGGUGCAAGCGUUAAUCGGAAUUACUGGGCGUAAAGCGCGCGUAGGCGGCCUUCUAAGUCGGACGUGAAAGCCCCAGGCUUAACCUGGGAACUGCGUCUGAUACUGGGAGGCUUGAGUAUGGGAGAGGGAUGUAGAAUUCCAGGUGUAGCGGUGAAAUGCGUAGAUAUCUGGAGGAAUACCGGUGGCGAAGGCGGCAUCCUGGACCAUAACUGACGCUGAGGCGCGAAAGCUAGGGGAGCAAACGGG